AUUAAGUUUAUCAGGGAAUUCUGGGGCGUAAGCGCGCGUAGGCGGUUUGUUAGUCAGAUGUGAAAUCCCUUGGCAAGACAUGGGAAUGGCAUUUGAGGCUGGCAGGCUUCUCGUGUGGAAGAGGUGAGUGGAAUUUCAGGUGUAGCGGUGAAAUGCGUAGAGAUCUGAAGGAACAUCAUUGUCGAAGGCGACUCACUGGGCCAUUACUGACGCUGAGGUGCGAAAGCGUGGGUAGCAAACAGGAUUAGAUACCCUGGUAGUCCACGCCCUAAACGAUGUCAACUAGGUGUAUGGAGAAUUUAUUCUUUGUGUAUCGAAGCUAACGCGAUAAGUUGACCGCCUGGGGAGUACGGUCGCAAGACUAAAACUCGAAUGAAUUGACGGGGGCCCGCACAAGCGGUGGAGCAUGUGUUUUAAUUCGAUGCAACGCGAAGAACCUUACCUGGCCUUGACAUGUACGGAAGAUUGAAGAGAUUCUAUUGUGCCUUCGGGAACCGUAACACAGGUGCU
rnacentral:rRNA from 1 species